GGGGCUCAACCCUGGGGCUGCUUCCGAAACUGCAGGUCUUGGGACUGGUAAAGGCUGGUAGAAUUCCCGGUGUAGCGGUGGAAUGCGUAAAGAUCGGGAAGAAUACCCUUGGCGAAGGCGGCCAUCUGGGCCAGGUCCGACACUGAGGCGCGAAAGCGUGGGGAGCAAACAGGAUUAAAUACCCUGGUAGUCCACGCCGUAAACGAUGGGCACUAGGCGCUGGUGGGAGCGACCCCUUCAUUGCCGCAUCUAACGCGAUAAGUGCCCCGCCUGGGGAGUACGGCCGCAAGGCUGAAACUCAAAGGAAUUGACGGGGGCCCGCACAAGCGGUGGAGCAUGUGGUUUAAUUCGAAGCAACGCAAAGAACCUUACCCGUGUUUGACAUGCACGGGAAACCCUCUAGAUACAGGGGGCCUCCUUCAGGACCCAUGGACAGGUGCUGCAUGGCUGUCUUCAGCUCGUGUCGUGAGAUGUUGGGUUAAGU
rnacentral:rRNA from 1 species